GAGGUGACGUCACAAAAGAUCAACAGACAAAUUAUUUCUCAGCUGAUUAACUUAUAUCGGCUGACUAACUUGGGUGAACGAAUACCUGCCUAUGAUGGUAUGAAGAGCAUUUACACUGCAGGGCCGCUGCCUUUUGAAUCGAAGGAAUUCAUUAUCACGUUACCUGAUAGUGAUCCUCGUCCCAGCUCAUCUGCCAGCCCGGGGUAUCUCAUGCUUUUAACACGUGUGUUUCUUGAAUAUUGUUGAUUGUGAGUUUUCUUGAUUUAAUGUGUCGAGUGAUUUCUUAUGCAGAACGGAGCGUCAGUUUAGGGUGGUUAUCAGAUUGGCGUCGCAGCCUUAUGUUUACACUCUACAGAAGUUCAUACAAGUGCUUGAUGUUGUUCUCAGAGCAGCUCCAUCAGAGAAGUAUUUAACCUUAACUGUGUUAAUAAAAGUUUCACUUUUUGGUAUGUAUGAUAUAGGAUGUUCCGUGCCCAUGCCAGCAUUUGCUUGUUCAUGCAACUGAUUGAGCAUUUGAUUUCUGAGGAACAAUUUUAUUAUUGUCUAUUUUGUGCCUUGAACAAUUUAGGUUUUAGAAUGGUUAAUUAAUGAAAUGAUGAACUUCUGCAUCAGGCAUACAGUUGUGGGAAGGUCAUUUUUCUCAACUGAUCUUGGACCAAUGGGUCAGCUUGGUGAUGGCAUUGAAUAUUGGCGUGGAUAUUUUCAGAGUCUUCGCCCAACCCAAUUUGGGCUAUCUCUUAAUAUUGGUUUUUCUCAUUAUAUUUUAUAUAAUUUGAUGCUGCUUAUCUUUAUAUUAUCCAAGCUUGAUUUUUUCUUUUUUAGGUGCAGCACUGCUACAUAAAUAUUUGCUUUUGCUGUUGCAGAUGUUUCAGCCAGCUCCUUUUAUAAGCCAAUUCUAGUUACUGAGUUUGUUCAGUAUUAUUGCAGCGACUUAUCACGUCCUCUUUCUGAUCAAGUGCGUCUGAAGGUAUUGUCUAGUCUUCUUUCGUGAUGUCAUGGUUAUAAUUAAUUUAGUAUCAACUUAAUGAGCUAUCUAUUGGGCGGUUAAAAGUUUUAAUUGAGGGCUGCAGCACCGUAAUAUAUUUGUGAUAAGAGCCUUUUCAAAGAAUGAUCACAGAUUUGUUAGGCAAACCGUUCAGUAAUGUUUUAGAUGCUGUGUAUAAUUAAUUGCAAGUAAUUAGCAGUUUAAAAUUUCAAAUUUCUUGCAAAUUUUGGAUAGGGUAAUUUCUUAAUUUGUGGCUGAACUGGUGGGUAGUGAGUAGUGUUGUUCUCGGCCAUUGAAAUCUAAAUAGAAUGAGCUCCCAAGUCUAGGGGGAAUAGAAUGUUGAUGACAGUGUUUGAUGAUUAAUGUAGGAAGUUGGUGUAUAAUUUGGCCUAUAAUUCUGAUGAUAAAGAAAUGAGAUCUUGAAAUGGCGGUUUUAAAAAUCUUCCACGCAUUCAUUUGCAAUUGUACAGUUAUCUUGAUCAACUUAUUAUCAUUCCGUUACGUAUAUUAGCAAUCUUUUGAACUAUCUGUAAAAUUUUUACUUUCGAUCUAUUUUGGCCGCUAUUUGACAACCGCCCUUUAAUUAUUUUCAAAAUUAUUGCUGGGAAUGGGAUAGAGACAUGUGGUCAAUGAUAUUAAUAUACUUGUUUAAUUCUUGACUUCUAGGUGAAAAAGGCAUUGAAGGGAAUAAAGGUAGUGCUCAGGCAUAUGGGGUACAACUUAAGUUGCAAGAUCACUGGAAUAACCAGUCAACCGAUGAGCCAAGUAAUGUAUGUGUGUGUGUAAUUAACUGAUAUACAAGUGUAAGAACACUGUCCAACGUGUGGUGAUAGAGUGUGAUAACAUAACUUGGUGGUUUGGUUGUGUUUAUGUUGGUCGAUUUGUUUAUGUUAGCUGAUUCUUGAGUCCCCCACGCCAUUUGAGAAGCAUACUUUAUGUUGCCUGCUUUUGUCGUCAUCUGAAAUCCACAUAUGGUUAAAUUUGUCUUUUGUGUUGUAUUUUAUGUAUGAUUGAACUACUUGGUGGUAAAAAGUUUGGCGGAUGUGUCUCAAAUCAAUUUCUCAAAUCUGAUAUGUGAUAGUAGUUGGCUACUAUGUAGUGCGAUGGUCACUUGAUAUUGCCUGUAACAGUGAUGUAUCCCUCCUUCCAUGUUAUAGUCGGAAUUCACGUUAUAUCUUCCCUUUGAUUGUAUUUGCUAGGUUUACUUGUGACAAUGAGACAAGGUCGGUGGUUCAAUAUUUUCUUGAAAAACAUAAAAUUGCGCUUCAAUUCACGUCAUUGCCUGCCCUUGAAGCUGGAACUGAAGAGAGGCGCAUUUAUUUGCCAAUGGAGGUUCUAUGAUCAAAAGACUACUUUCGUUCUUUGUGUCUGGAAAAUAAUUUAUUUAAGACUUAUUUAUAGAAUAUUUUUGUUUACAGCUUUCUAGGAUUGUCGAGGGACAGAGAUAUACUAAAAGAUUAAAUGAAAGACAAGUAACUGCUCUUUUAAGAGCAACCUGUCAGCGUCCUCAGGAUCGUGAAGCAAAUAUACAGAUGGUAGAGCAUUGUUGUAAUUUCUUACAUCUGUGGUGGAUCUUUUUUGGAUGAUUAAUCUGGGAGCUAUCUUCUUGUGAACAAAGAGAGUUUCUGAUUCUUGCUUCUGGGUUUGACAUUCUUCUGCAGAUGGCUAGGGAAAAUGCUUACAAUGAAGAUACUCUUGUGAACAGAGAGUUUGGAAUUCAAGUGGUUGAUGGUCUUACAUCGGUUAAUGCUCGAAUCCUACCUGCUCCAAUGGUAAUUAUGUGUCAUUUUGUUUUAUUUGUAACAGGAUUAUGGUACUUCCAAUCUCCUUAUGCUUAACUUUACCUCCUGUAAUGCUGCAGCUUAAAUAUCAUGAAACUGGCCAAGAAGCAAGCGUGAAUCCUGAUUUUGGGCAAUGGAACAUGAUUAACAAGGUGAAUUACUGAUUAUUAUUUUAUUCUGUAGCUGUUGAUUUGUGCUUAGGAAGAGCAUAGGGAAGCAGUUUCCACUUGUUUAAAUUGGUUGAGGGAUGUUUAUUGACUGAUGGGUAGGAUGGGUUGGAAGUUGAUUUGCUAAAUUUGAUGCAAUGUGGAUGUGCUGCAUUUCCUUUGCAACCAUAAUUUUUUUAUUUUUUUUUUCAUUUUAGCAUGCUGUAAUUUCUAUUUAGUUAUAUACUUUUUCAUCUUUGACAAGCAUUGUAUCUGAUAUUCACUUAGGUAUUUGGAUUGUAUGUGCUUGGUGUUCAGCUCAAUCCACUUUGCCUUCUGAAGGAGAAGCUUUUAUUUGUUUACACUGAAUUAUUUUGUGUAAUUUUGGUUGUACAGAAAAUGUUCAAUGGUGGGAGGGUGGAAGUUUGGACUUGUAUGAACUUCUCAACGUGUUUGAACCAGGAUGUGAUCGGGUUCUGUCAACGGUUGGUAGAUAUGUGCAAUAGAAAGGGAAUGGUAUGGUAAUGUUAAUGGUAUGGUAAUGUUAUUUGUUUUGCAAUGGUAUGGUAAUGUUAUUUGUUUUGCAAUUCAUGCUAGCAAUUUAGGUUAAUGGUCUCUCUGAACCGACUUUUUUCUUUUGGGGGGUCUGUGUUUAUCAUGCCAGGUAUUUAACCGGCGGCCUGUCAUUCCCAUAAGUUCAUACAACCCAUAUCAAAUUGAGAAGGCACUUGUAGACGUUCACAAUAAGACUACACAGCCAGGGAAACAGCUUCAGCUGUUGAUAAUUAUUUUACCAGAUGUUCGCGGAUCAUAUGGUGAGUGAUAAAUUUAAUCAAGGAUUAAACUUUAAUGUCAGCUUUGGUUUUGUUCAACAUUAUCGGCUUUCUGCUCGCAGGAAGAAUUAAGCGAGUUUGUGAAACGGAACUUGGGAUUGUUUCACAAUGCUGUCAGCCUAAGCACGCAUCCAGUCGCAACAUGCAGUAUUUUGAAAAUGUGGCUCUUAAAAUCAAUGUGAAGGUUUGCUUUGCCCCCAUUUUUUUGCGUGUUCAUUAUCAUGGUUAAUAUUUGAGAACCAAUACAAGGGUUGGCAGGAAAACAUGUAGGAGAUGAAUUUUUUUUUUUUUUUGGCAAUUUAAUUUCAGUCUUGAUUUGCUGUAAUUAUUGUAAUUUUUUUUUUCAAAUAAUCAAAUUCUGAUGUUCAAGAUAUUUUUAUAAGUGUUUGGGAGUGCCAAAAUUUCUUGUUAAAAUUGAUAGGUUUGCUUAUUGGUACUGGAGAUUCAGUUUGCUAUUUGUAAUUUUAUCAGGUUGGAGGACGAAACACUGUGCUCGAUGAUGCUGUUCAGAAAAGAAUUCCUCUUGUGACUGAUAGACCUACAAUUAUAUUUGGUGCAGAUGUCACCCAUCCACAACCAGGAGAAGACUCUAGCCCUUCAAUAGUGGCCGUAUGUGCACUCAUUUUCUGUUUCUGCUUUCUAGUAAUUCACUCUGUUGAAAGAUUGAAUUGACUGAGACAGGUGGUGGCCUCAAUGGAUUGGCCAGAAGUAACCAAGUACAGAGGACUUGUCUCUGCUCAGGCACAUAAUGAGGAAAUUAUCCAAGAUCUCUAUAAAUCUAUUCAAGAUCCUCAGAGGGGUUUAGUUCAUGGAGGGAUGAUCAGGUUAGUAGGCAUGGAAGUACAUAUCAGGUGCCUUAUUAUUAAGAGAACCUUAUGCUUCUGUUUGUCUUUACAGGGAACUGUUAAUUGCCUUCAAAAUAUCAACCAACCGUAAACCUGAGAGUAUUAUUUUCUACCGGUAAUGGCUGUUUUCAAUGUUAAACUGCAUGUUUUGUAGAAUGUUACUGAUGUUGUUUCAUUUAUGUGCCAGAGAUGGUGUUAGUGAAGGGCAGUUCAGUCAGGUUUUGCUCCAUGAAAUGAAUGCUAUCCGACUGGUAAUGCUGAUGAGUCCUGAAGUUAAUACAAUUUUCUUGUGUUCUAGAGAUUUUCAAUACCUAGUUUCAGUUAAUUUCUUGUUGAUGACUUUUGUUGCAACAUGCUAAAUUGACUUAUUUGCAGGCCUGUGCCUCACUUGAGGAGGGAUAUGCGCCACCAGUUACGUUUGUUGUGGUACAGAAAAGGCAUCAUACUCGCCUUUUUCCUGCUGAGCACAACAGACGUGAUCUGACGGAUAGGAGUGGAAAUAUUUUACCAGGUUCCAAGUUUGCUUUGUAUUAUUAAUCUUUAUUUUCUAUUUGCUUCUUUUGAGUAUUCACAAUGGGUGGGAACCAUGUUGUUGCUUCACCUUGUCUUUGAUGAAUACUUUUGGGAUGUUCUUGUGUUAGGAACUGUUGUCGAUACUCAAAUUUGUCACCCUACAGAAUUUGAUUUUUACCUCAACAGCCAUGCAGGAAUUCAGGUAAAAAAAAAAGAAAAUAAGUUUGCUCUUUCAAUCCAAAUAUUUUUCAUCCAGACUUGUUAAACAAUGCCCCCCCCCCCCCCCAAAUUUUUUAAUUUGUUGGACUGAUUAAGGUGUUUGUUCCAGGGAACCAGUCGCCCAACUCACUACCAUGUAUUGUUUGAUGAGAACCGUUUUACUGCAGAUGGCUUGCAAGUGUUAACAAAUAACUUGUGUUACACGUAAUAUGUUUACCUUCUCUAUAACCGGAUUUAAUAUUGCAUUGUUGAAGAAUUUAUCUUUCGAAUGGUUAUUUUGUAAGUUUUUGACUCGUGGCCCAUUUUCAGGUAUGCAAGGUGUACUCGAUCAGUUUCAAUAGGUCUGACGCUUCGUACUUCUAUUGUUUUACUAAAAAUAUUUUGAGUCAAUGAAUUAUUAUGAUUCUGGCUAGCAUUGAUUGAUUUUUUUUUCUUUUUAUUUUUUGUAUUGGCUGUUUUCAUAUGGCAGUGCCUCCUGCAUAUUAUGCACAUUUAGCAGCUUUUCGGGCUCGUUUUUAUAUCGAAGACGAAACAUCUGCGGGUGGAUCCACAGGAGGGACUAGGAGCACGGCGGAGGGGAGUUUGGCUAUCCGGCCUCUUCCCGUCAUCAAGGAUAAUGUGAAAGAUGUAAUGUUUUACUGCUGAAAGUAGUCUCCAGCAUCAAUCCUCUUUGUCAUGGUUUUCAUCAAGGCUUGACGUGUUUUGGUAUAUGGAGUACCAGCGUGGUGCCCUUUUUGGACAGUACUGUUAUUUUGGGAGUAGUUUCAAAUUGGACAUCAAGGGUAGAAACUGAUUCUCCUUAUUUUAAAAUGUUAGCUGCAUAUUGUCCUGGUUAAUGCCUUGUAAAUUUAAAUGCCAAAAAACUUCAUUUCUUAUUUUAAAAAUGUUUCUGAUUCUCCUUAUUUUAAAAAUGUUAGCUGCAUAUUGUCCUGGUUAUUUGAUCUCACUGCACUCUUUUUUAAAUUAACAUUUUUAUUCUGAAAACAUAAUUGGAUCAAUUAUAUAUUUGAUCUUAUUCUCUCUCUCGACAAAAUGGAGAAAAAUAUUAAAUAAGUUGUUUUUACAAAAUUUAACAAACACUAUUUUUAUUAAAAAUUAUGAAAUAAGUAAGUUAUUGAAUUUCAACUGCAAUCCUAAACUGACUCUUAGUUAAUCAAAUAUUUUUUGUGACUUUUGAAAAUUAGUGAAUUAAAAUAAUAAACUAUAAUUAAAAAAUGGUUGUAAGAAGGAAAAUUAAAGUUUGCCUCAAUUGUUUGAUUAGGCGAAUGAUGCAUGUAUACGGUUGGGUACAUGUAGUUGUUUUUAACUAAGAUGUAUAAAUAGAUGAACAAAUACUGCAAAAGCGAAAGUAUUGAAUUAAAAAAUGUCAUAAAAAUUUCUUCAAAGUAUUAAACUGUGUAUGCUUCUUCUUUUUUUCUUUUUUUUUACUUUCAAUUACUCGUUAUUCUUCUUGUACGGUGGCUUCCGAAUUACUUUCUUUACUUUUUGAGAGCUCAAGCAAUUCCGUUGCUUCUUCCACUUUUGCAGCCAAUGACUCAAAAGUGAAUCCAACAGCACGAGCAGCUCGGAGUGAUCCAUUUCCAAAAGCAUCUCAGUAAUCUUUGGUGAAAGACCACAUUGUCCAAAAGUUACUUACAUGUAAAUAUCAUUAAACCAAAGCUUAAAGCAGGUGAAAAUUAUUAGUACAUUCGCAGAAGGUUAAAACUUCAAUUUACUCCCUUAUUUUGAAUAACAAUCUACUAUUUACCUCAAAAAUAUAAAAACAUCAAUUUAUCUCUUUUAUCAUUAAAAAGACAAAAAAAAAUAUUAUUAUCAACACCCUUUUCGUUUGUCCUAAUCUUUUGAACGAAAAUGAAAGUAAACUGAAGAUUAUCAUUUUACCCGAAGAUGAAUCAAAAUUGACCCUUAACAAAAAAUAUGAGUAAUCACCUUGAGUUUCUUCAGCAGCGGGUAGAGUCUUUGGCCAAGAAUAUCUUUCCUUUCAUUAGGGAAAGCAGCAGCAAGGAUGCUGCUCAAAUUUUCAUUGUAAGCAGCAGCUCUUUAAUUCCCAUUUGUCAGCUCUUUGAUUCCCAUUGGAAAAUUUAGCAUGCCCAUUCAUCCUUCCUCCUCUAUAUUGCCUUACAGAAUUAGGAGCCUGUAAUACAAAAUUUUUAAUCCCAAAGUUAAGCAGAAGCGCAACAAUUCCAAAUACAUCCUAAACUUGAUUUUACGUUACCAUUAGAAACAAAGGAGAAGGAGGAGGAGGUGAAAAUCCAUUAGGAAUCAUGCCACCAUGCUUAAACCCUGGUGCUUGGUACACUUGUAAGGCACGUUGAUAAAGGGUCGGAUGCAUAGGAAAAAUGGUGCUACCAAGUCCUGGCCCUUGCUUUGCAUACAUCAUUUGUAGGUACGAAGUUCUUUCUCACUUUGUUUAAGCAAUGGCCACAUACAAUGGCUUUUGAUGAAACUAAGAUGCCAUUCAGAGUAUUUAUGGCUCCAUUGGCUUCAUCAGGAUUAGAGAAACACACAAAUCCGAACCCUUUGCUAAUACCUCGAUUAGUUCUCAUGAUCUUAACAGAGCUGCGUCAUCAUUUAUGUUCUUCACGUACAAAUUUUUAUCCUACACUUGACAAACAUCUUGAUUUUAGCAGGAUUUAACAAACGAAAAUAACGAUAUUAAUUGAGAGAGCAAAUAACGAAAACAAAAAUUGUAUAAUUCGGCACGCUCUCGUUGCAUUCUCUCAAAUUAAGCGCGUAAAAUCGCCUUUCGUACCGUUAGCAUCUUUUGAGAUAACCAAACUUAUUUAAUAUUUUUCCAAACUCGAAGAAUUUCGUACAGGUUGUUAAAUGAAGCACUUUCUUGAAUCCUGCCAGCCCUUCUGAUGAAUGGACCAACAUAGCUGCCAAUUAAUGCCGGUGAACAUUAUGAAUGUGACAAAUAGUAAAUAAAUUAGCAUACAUACAAAGAUGGCACAUACAGGUACAGCUCCAUUCCUUCAACGGUAGCAGCAUAAAGCUUCUCAAUAGCAUUGAGUGCAGAUUCUGGCGUUGAGUAUUGGACAAAGCCAUAGCCUUUGCUUUUCCCAUCUUGAGACACAACAACCUUGGAGCUUGGAGGACUGAAUGUCUCCGAAUUUGGAAAAUAUUUGAUGGAGCUUCCAAUUGUCUAUUGUACUAGCCAAGUUCUGCCAAGUGUAUAUAUAUAUAGGAAACAUCAGACAAAAUGAUGAUCAACUAACUAAAUGUUUUCAUAUCCCAUGAAAAAAUUUUGUAAUUAAUUACCUUAACGAACACUUUUCCAACUCAAUCUGGCUUCAGAAUUGGGUGUCGACUACAUUACUCUAAUUGCUUUACCAUUCAGUAUUGUAUAAUUCAAUGCCUCUAUAGCCUUUGUUGCUGAUAAAAAAAUUAUAAAAGUUAAAGACGUUCAUUAGGAAUAUAUUUCAAUUGUUAUGAAAGUAAGCCGGCAAAUCGUUUCGAAUUUAAUUAGAAGAACAAUGUCGCGUCUGGCUUUUUUUUUUAUUAUUAUUACACGAGACAAUUUCUCAAGAGUACAACUCAUAUUACAUUAGAUUACAAUUUAUAUUUAUAAAUCAGAUUAUUACUGGGACUAGUUUACAUCAAUUCUUAUGAAACACUGUCCGAACUUUUACUCUCUCUAACAUUCGAAGGAUGUUUACUCUACUCACAUUUCGAAAUGAAAAAAACUGUCUUCACUCAAUUAAAGAAGGAAAUUAAAUCCCCAACAAUGCAUUGUGGGAGCUUAAACCCAUGACUUCACAAUUGUAAGGUUUGGGUUCUAAUCACUGGCUCGCCCCAUGCAAGGGUUUUGAUUAUCGCUCUUGACCAACUCCCAAACUUGUAGCCCUAACUCUAAUUAACAUUUCCUGAAACCCUAGGGUUUAGUCAAGCUGUUUUCAAGUAAUUUUAUUUAACUGACUAAUCAUUGCUCUAGUUCAAAUUCUGGGAAAGACAGAUGGUUAAAGAAUAGAUUGGUGUACGUUCUGUUUCCCGUAUUAUGGAAUUAUCUGCAAUAAUUCACUUUAUACAACAAAGAGUUGUACACAUAUAACUAAAAGUACAUAUUUGAUUCAAUUAAUUUAACUUAGGUAAUUAAAAUAGUUUUAGGAAAAUAUGUAUAUAUAAAUUAUGAACAUGCAUGCACGUACCACAGUGAAAGGAAUGAAAGUUGGCGUAGCCAUAGCGGAGUGAACGUCGAUGGAAGCUAUCAACGCAGAGCAUAGCCGAAGCAAGUCCUUCGAGUUUUGAGAACGAGAAGGUCUGAAUGAGCUGUUGUUCUGUUACUGUGGAGUCGAGGUCUCCAACGUAGAGCGAGAACAGUGUCCCCAGAAUUGCAGAGUCAUUAUUAUUAUGAGCACGAAGAGAAACUUCCAUGUUUAAUGAAUGAAUCAAUAUCAGAGAUGACACAAUAUUAAUUGCUUGAGUUCAUCAGAGCAACAAACUAUGUGUAUAGUUAAUUAUUUAUUAAGAACAUAACUAAGAAGUUGUGAUAACGUGUAAUUCCUUUCCUCUUUAGGAAUUAGCUUUCUUAUUGAAUUCUGAUUUUAUUAUAGAAGAAACGACUAUAAGGGGGUGCCAAGCUUAAGCCCGCGCAUUGGCGGAAUGCAGAAGCUACACUAUCUCUCUCUAUAUAUAGUAGAACCUCUAAAUAGACAUACUCUAUAUAGAAAUAAUCUCUUCAUGGUAAUAAAAAAUUGUGAUCACAACUUAAAACUAGUUAUAAUUAAGAAUAAACUCCACAUUAUAAUAAGUUAUAUUUUUUGUAGAUCUCGUCUUAAAUAAACUUACCUUCACAUAGUAAUAAUAUUUCAAAAAUAUAUGUCAUGUUACGUUAAAUAAUUAAGAUAUAACAAAAUAUCUUUUUAAAGUUACAACCACAUCCUUCAACUUGCAGGUAUAUAUUAAUUGGUCAGCAUAGGCAUUUUCUUGUUAAAACUAAAAUAUUUCUAACUUCUCAAAUAUAUUAAACUGUCUUUAGUAAUAAAUUACAUUAGAAACAUUUUAGUGACAUAAAAUUUUAUUAAAAUGUAAAUAAUCCCACUUGCUACGAAUCUUUUUAUGUUUGAAUCGAAAAGUUUCGGUAACUUUCUUGUCAAAAAUAAAAAAUAACAACUCGUUUAUGUUAUUCGAUUCCCUUUCUUUUUAUUUUUUAUUUUUUGAGAGAGAUAUUCGAUUCCCUUUCAAAUGCAAACAAAAAGACAAAUUCUUGACCAAAGUCAAUUAAGUUGGUAGCUUGGAUAUUUGAAUAGGAGUCUUCACGUGCUUCAUUUUUAAGAAUCGUCAUCAUUCUUCUUUCCAAAAAGGAAAUAAGGAAAAAUAAUAAUAAUAGUAGAGCGAAGAAACAAAGAAAACUAUGAUUCGAAGUCAAAAGAAUUCAAUUUUUGAUGAUCAGUAUUCGUUUAAUUUUUAUAUUUUAAAAUAUAUCUUAAAAUAUUUUUGUUGUUAAUUAUGUUACACUUUUUAGUAUUGCAUUUUAUUUUUUUUGACAAUAAUACAUUAAUAAAAAUAAAUAUUAAUUUAUCGAAUUAAACGUAAAGGUAAAAUAAUGAUAAUACUACUAUUAUUAUUUAUUUUAUUUGUAAACUAUUAUUAUUUUUACUUUUGUGGUUAAUUAGAUAAAUAACAUAUUUAAAUCUUAUUAUUGUAUUGUUACAAUAAUAUAUUUUAUUAUGAUAAUUUAAUAUAUUUAAAUUAAUAAAUAAUAUUAUUUAUUUUUUUUACAAAUUAUUAUUACUUGUUUAUGGUUAAUUCAAUAAAUUAAUAUAUUUCUUUUCUUUGAUGUAUUAUUACAAGAGUAUUAUUGUAGAAACAAAUAAAAUGUAAGAGUAAAGGGUGUAACAUAAUUAACAACAAAAAUAAUAGAUUAAUAUUUUUAUAUUAAUAUCUCCAAGAUUGUUACAAGGUAUUAUUGUCAAAGCAAAACAAAAAUAAGGACAAUAAUAAAACAUAUUAUAAUAUCUAACUAUAGUAACUGAACAUAUACUUAACCUAAAAUGUAAUAUCUAAAUGAACACUUUACCUACUUCAUUAACAUAAUCAUAUAUACAUAAUUUAUAGUCAUGUAAUGUGCCGUUGAUCAAAACUUAUGAUAUAAUAAUAAUAAUAAUAAUAUAAUAAUAAUAAUAUAAUAUAAUAAUAUAAUAAUAAUAAUAAUCUUACACCAUCUAUCAGUUAAUGACAAGUCACGUGUCGUAUUAUUUAAGACCCAUUACGUUUUUUUAAUUAUGUAUUGAUAGUAUUAUUAACAAAACAAUUAUUAUUAUUUUUUCUUUUCCCUAGCUUCCACUAUUUUAUCUAUUUAUUUUUAUUUUUAUUUAUUUUUAUUUGGAAUGAAGCUUCCACCUUAAACAAACGAAGAAAGUGCUGACCAGCUGGUAAGAUUCCUCAAAAGUGUAAGCAAGACGACGCACUUUCGAUUGUUAAAAUGAAUCAGAAGAGCUAAAGCGGUUUCUUUAUGCGUUCCUUAAUGUUGUAGAUGUAGUUCUCUUUUUUCUUUUUUCAUAAACUUGCACCCACAUGGAGGUAAGCGAAACUGGCUUUUGCCUUUCGUUCGUUCAUCAAAUUUUAAUAUCACUUAUUACGUCGCUUAAUUGAAAUCUCAUGUAUUUAUUUAAAAAAUAAAAAUAAAUAAUUUAAGAAGUUGAUACAAAUAAAUGAGAAGAUAAAAAUUAGUUGCAUUAAUAAGAUAUUUUAUUUUCAAGUGAGUUUUUAAUCAAAGAUUCUCAAUUUUAAAAAUUAAAAAAUAAAUUAUAAUAUAUUAAAAUUUAUUGAUAACAUAACAUCUUCAAAAUAUUCUAGUAUUUUUUAUAACAGAACAUGAAACUAAGUAAUUUAGUGAUCCUCAAAUAAUUUUUAUUAAUUUAAAAAAAUAAUUAAUACACUCUUAAAAUAUUAUAAUAAUUUUUAUAAUAAUACAUCAAUAAAGUAUUCGAAUGAUAAUAUUAUUAAUAUUUAUUGAUAAUGGCACCUCAAAGUUCAACUCUAAUUCCUUCUGAGCUACGCAAUUAAGUAAAGUAAAUAGCAAGAAAGUCACAUCAACGCGCUUUGUGACACAACAACAUGACGUUUAAAGAGCCUCGCGGCAGAUGCAAAUAUCGAUUGACUGAAAAGAAAGCUCAAAUUGACAAUUCGUUUAACCCAACAGUUUAAAAUACUGAGUGAGAUCUUGGCAUAAAACAGUGAAAGCUAAAGCAUAAAGAAAAGAAUGUUAAGGAAAAGAGAAAAAAAAAAAAAAAAGAGAAUGAAGAAGAUGCUUUAUCUCUCUUUUUGCGUCAUUUAGAACGUAUGCCAACCAUGCACGUCCACGUCAUUUUAAUCCACGAAGAGAUAAAUAGAUCACUAACAGACAGAGUCAAUAUAUAUUCUUCAUGUCAAUUAUGGCGAGAGCUUUUCCUUUUUCUUUGGGACACAUGGUCUGUGAGAUAUGCUCGCGGAUUAAAAUUCAAAUUAAUUUCUUUGACCUCUAUCUAAAAUAUUUAGGAUUUAAAUCGGUUAAAUAAAUCAAUUUUAAAAAUCACUCAAAUUAAUCCUCUUAAAAAUAAGAGAGCCAUGUUUACUUUAGGAGACCACUGAUAUUAAAUUACUAAAAUGAUAACAUCAAAAUAAAAUUGGUAUUAUUGUUCGUGCCGUCACAAUACCAUUGUAGUACACAAAAUGACGACAUUGUUCAUACUAAAAUACUUUUCUUUUCUUGGUAGUUAAAUAUUAUUUUUCUUUUUUAUUACACGUGAAAGUAUUUUUAUUAUUAGCAAUAAACAUGCACAAUAAGAAGUGAAUAGAAAUUAACAAUAUUUUAAAUUUAAAUAAUUAUCGUAGACUCUCGUAGACUUAGCUAAACUUUUACUGCAUGCGCGCGCACACACACAACAUAAAAAUGACACCGCGAAUUAAAAAAACUGUAAAUUUUGCGAGGGCUCGAUUUUAAAUUUGCACAGAAAUCAGACAAAUUUCAGAUCAGUCCCUUAUGUUUCUCUGAAAUUUAUUCCAUCCCCCCCGACUAUCGAGUACAAGGCGCCAUCAUAUCCUCUGUAGCAUUUCUAGAAUCUUGGAAGUGGUCCCGCGCAUUUAGUCCAUCGAUCCUUGUCACCUGAUGGGAGUAAAACUCCUCGGUCAAAAGGAUUUGGUAUUCUCGCGGGCCCCACAAAGGAAAUUAAAAAACUAAAAAGCCAAAAAUAGGCUGCGCAUGGAAUACCAUGAAGCGGAAGUCCCUUCCUUCGGAAGUUGUUUGCAAGAGAAGACUUGGAAAUUAUCUACAACGUGCUAUCCCACCGUGUCUCCCGUAGACGCCAGCUUCGAUUGAUCCAUCCCAACUUUGUCUUUAUCAAAUUAUAAACGUCCCGAAGAAGCCCUUCUUCGCUCGACACGUGCACGUGCAUCAAAGGUUUCGUGUUAGCUUUGCGUUAUUUGCGAUUUUAAAGAAAGUGCCGUUGUACGGUUCUGCUGUUCCUUCAUCGCUUACGUGGAAAGGCCUGCGUGCUGACUCCUCGCAGACAGCCCCACUAAUUUCUUUAAAAAAAUAUAAAGUAAUGGAUACGGACUUAGCAAACCGGAUGUGCACAUGUGUUUGAGAAAUCAUAUAUAUAUAUAUAUAUUUUUUUCCUCAGUAAAAGCGUGACCAAAUACUGUCGAUUUUCAAUAAUUUUUUUAUUAAAAAAGAUAUAAUUUUCUUUACGUUGUGUAAAUGGGGUCCACAGGCGGACUGCCAAACUAGAUGCCUUGGGAAUCGUCAACCCUUCAGGCUGGAAAACGCCCCAAGGAGCGCCGCCUAAAAGCUAUCAUUAAUUUGUCGUCAUACGCGCCCAGGGAAAGCGUGUGUGGGAGCAAAUAUUCAAACGCCGGGACUAUUGGACACGUGUGAUAGUUUAAAGAGGCCGUAGCUCUGAGCUUUGCGGGAAUAAAAGGCUGAUGGUUCAGCACGCGCUCAUGGAAAUUUUUCACUCGUUCCAAAUUCCAAUCACCUUCUGUUCUUCCACAGCGACUAUGUCCAUUGACCCCCAGACACCUGAUGAUUAUUUUCGCGGUCUUUUUCAUUUCACAAAUUUUACCCUUUGCCAUCUUCACUUGGUGGGUGAAAUUUGAUUUUUGGGUACAAUGCAGAGUGGAUUUAAUCAUAAACUUCUUGAAUUAGAAAUAGUAAAAAUAUCCACCGUCCACUUAUUUUUUUUUUCUUUUAAAUAUAUAAUUCUUUUUUUUACUGAAAUUCACCUAAAGUUACAUUUUAUUUUACUUUUCCAGUUUUGUUUUAAAUUCGUUAAGAAAACUAACGGAAACUUAAAAAAAUGAUAAUUUUACCUCCAAAACGAAAAUUAUAAUUUCACCAUAAAAAAAAGCCAAAAACAAUAAGAUUUAAUGAUGAAUAUCAUUAUUGGUAUGUUAAUGAAGUAUAAAAAAAUCUUAACUACUAGAUAUUAUAACUCAAUGAAUAAUAAAAUUCUACUUAUUUUAAAUUCAAUUGAGCUAUUUUUAAUACUACUGUUAUAAUUUAGCAUUCUAAUUACAUACAUAUUUAAAAAAAAACCUUGCAUUUGAUGGUUGUGGAAUUAAUUUCUUUGUUGACCGAUGGGGAAAAUAAUUAGAUUUAAUUUGAUUAUUUUUGGUAAUUUUUAGGAUGAAAUUAUAAUUUUCGUUUUGGGGGGCAAAUUUGUCAUUUUUUAAGUUUCUGUUAGUUUUCUUAACGGAUUCCAAACGGAAGUGGAAAAAUGAAACAAAAUGUAUCUUUAGGUGGAUUCCAACAAAAAAAAAAUUGUGUAUUUUUUAAAAAUUAGAAAAAACGGGUGGACAGUGGAUAAUUUCUCUUAAAAAUAUUAUCCGAAGGAUAAUUUUAAGUUUGGUCCUUUUACAUAAUGUAGAUUUGUGGUGGUAUUUUUUUUUUUGUGAUGGUUAAAAGAAUAUAGGCACACAUUAGACAAUAGUAUAAAGUUAAGAGUAUUGGACUAUUCUUUUUAAAAUUAAACUAGUCUUUUGUUUGGUGCCGCAAAGAUAAGUGAGGAUUAUCAAUUAUGUACCCUAAGACCACACCAUUUAAUCUUGGGCACAUACUUUUAUAAAGUACAAUGAAAAUUUUUAUCCCAUGGGGACCAUAGGGAUAAUGCGGGAUAAUUUUUUUCAUGCUUAAAAAUAAUUGUAGAAUAACUACACGAUGAAAUAUCUAUAACUAUUAUUACAUUAUAUUAUCACAUUGAUUAAAUAUUUAUUUACUUUAAUUUUCAUUUUACUUAACUAAUAAUAAAAAUGUUAGAUUUAUAUUUUGUGUGUUUGUGUGUGUAUAUGUAUGUAUAUUGUGUGUAUAUGUAUCUAAACAUACACAAAUGAUCAAUUACACACAUUAUUGUACGCGAUGAGCUAUGUGUCAUCUAAUCAUGGCUGUGUGGCACAUCUAAUUAGGUGUGUAUAAUAAUAAUAAACAACUUAAAUUAAUAUUUAGGUUUUUUAAUUUAAUAAUUUGAAUAUUCAUAUUAUUAAAUCUAUAUUUAUAAAUUUACUCUAAUAAAUAAAUACUUUUAAAUGUUUAAUAAUCAAUAAAUCAAUAUUAAUAUACUUCAUUUUCUUAUAAAUUAUUUUAAUAAAAUCCUACAAUAGACCAAACAUGAGAUAAUACUAAAUAUAAAUAAAACCCAAUCUUAUUCUAUCCCGCUAAACCCAUCUUAUAAAAAAAAGUAAUUUAAGUUCUAAUGGUGGCGGGAGCUGGAAACCUGAAAGGCCGGAAGCCCGGCUGAAGCUCUUACCUCAAUUUCCAACUGAAAAUUAAUAAUUAAUAAUUAAUGAUGAACGCUCAUAAACAUAAAAAAAAAUAUCAUAAAAAUGAACGAUCUUUCCUUUGCCCUCCAACGGGAGCAACUGAGCAAGUAGUAAGUGGAACCUCGCCACUUUCCUUGCAAAACGGGAGCAAGUAGCAAGUGUGUAGUGGCUAGGGAUGGCAAUGGGGCAGAUAUGGGUUGGAUCUACUCUGCUCCAUAUCUAAAUCCAUAAUAAAAAUCAAGAUCCGUAUCUGCUCCAGAUCCGUUAUGAAUUCAUAUUUUUCGUUCCAUAUUCAGAUCCAAAAAAGAAACAAAUAUCUAUAUCUGCUCCAAAUCCGAAAAAAAAUUAAAAUCCAAAUCCGCUCUAGAUCCGUCAUGAAUUCUAAAAUUCCGUAAUAAAAAAGUAAUAAUUUUUUAGAUUGAAAAUUGAAGGCUAAAAUGUAUUGAUAACAAAUAAAUUAUAUAAUUUUUCUCAAAAAUAUAAUAAAUAUUGUUGCUUAUACUUCUACACCAAAACAACAAAUAAGAAAGAUAAUAAAAUAUCAUUCAAAAGUAAUUACAGGAGUAAGAUCAAUCUAAUAUUCUAUUGUCUCCUUCAUCAUUCUAGUAUCCAUGAUACACAUACCCUCAUUCCUACAACAUUAGAUAAUAACAUAUAAAUUAAAUAUGAUUUAUAUUCAGUCCUUUAUUAUUUUUAUUAUGACCAUAUUUGACUAAAUAUAUGAAUAACUAUAUUCCUUAAAAAUUAUUUGGCCAAUAUGAUAAAAUAAAUUACCAAGUUAUAUUACUUGGAUUGCAAUUUGAAUAUUGCAUGUACAUGCUUUGAGGCUGGCUGACUUUUAAAUUUACAAAACUAAUCUUUAAGUUUUAAGAGUUUAAAUUCAUGGUAAAUACUACUAAUAUGCUAUGAAUAAAAUUUAUUAUCAUUAUCAUUAUCAUUCCACAAUUAUUAAGAAACUUUUAAAAUAAAAUAAAAUUAAAAGAUGAGUGGAUAUGGAUAUGUAUUUAGAUAUUAAAAUAGAUUCAUAUCUGCUCCAAAUCCGUCUUAGAUCCGCACAUCGAUAUCCAAAUCUGAUCCAAAUCCGAUCCGAUUGAAUUUGGAUCACAUGGAUCUUGGAUCAAAUCCAAUCAAUUGCCAUCCCUAGUUACGGCAACAAAAGCGCGUGCUACAUUUACACGUCAUUAGUAUAAAAAGCUAGGGGUAAAUCCGUCAGAGGACCAAACAGUCGCCAUACUGCCACGAAGCAAUAAAAUAAAAAGAAUUUCCAUUGCACGCCUUGCAUUUAAUUCGAUCUCUCUCUCUCUCUCUCUCUCUUAAACCUUGGUCCUUAUUAUUUAUAUACACACCCCCUAUUCCUCCCUCCUUCUCUCUGUUUCUUCUGAAGUCUGUCGCUCUCUCGCUUUAUUUGUGUGACCAUCACUUCACUUCGGUUCCUCAAAAUUUUCUAUCUCAUUUCACCUUUCUGUUUUCGACAAUGUCUCGACGUGGUGGCGGUGGUCGUAGGCCGGAUUCUCGCCGUGACCAGCCGACUCAGGCACCGGCGCCGUCAUUCCAGCGGGGUGGCGGUGGAGCCGCUGGACCACGGGGCCGAGGUCGUCAAGGUCAACGUGGGGGUGCUGGUCGUGGAUCGCAUUCCGGCUCCGGUGCAGCCCCUUCCUCACCACACACCGCUUCGACUUCGACGGCGCCGGCUCCUUCGUCUCCGUCUGUUUCUGCUUCUGCUUCUGCUCCUUCUUCGUCUUCAGUCUCUACUCUUGUCGAAGAAACGGAGCAGAAACUGACAUUGGCGGCACCAGCGGCGGCUACUCUUCCGCCUUCGUCGUCGCAGGCGAUGAGAUUUCCGGUGAGGCCGGGAUUUGGAACUGUUGGCAAAAAAUGUGUUGUCAGAGCAAAUCACUUUAUGGUGCAACUUGCCGAGAGAGACAUUCAUCACUAUGAUGUAAGUCUACUUUUAAUUUUGUUAUUUUUGAAGACGUUUUGCUGUUUUUAUUUUUUAUUUUUCGUUUUUCUCGUCAAUUUUGAUUUUAUUUAAGAUUCACCAUUCGUGAGCGUCGAAUUCGAAGGUGUCGGGGUUUUGUUGAUAUUUAAAAAAUAUACAUAUUCUUUUGCUUAUUUAUUUAUUUAUUUUUUAAGGUUUCAAUUACUCCAGAGGUGACGUCAAAAAAAAUCAACAGACAAAUUAUUUCUCAGCUGAUUAAUUUAUAUCGGCUGACUCACUUGGGUGAACGAAUGCCUGCCUAUGAUGGUAUGAAGAGCAUUUACACGGCAGGGCCGCUGCCUUUUGAAUCGAAGGAAUUCAUUAUCAAGUUACCUGAUAGUGAUCCUCGUCCCAGCUCAUCUACCAGGCCGAG
rnacentral:lncRNA from 1 species